rnacentral:rRNA from 1 species
GAAUAACACGAGGAAACUUGUGCUAAUACCGGAUAAGUCUUUACGGAGAAAGCUUUAUGCACCAUUGGAUGAGCCUGCACUUGAUUAGUUUGUUGGUGGGGUAAUGGCCUACCAAGACUGUGAUCAAUAGCUGAUUUGAGAGGAUGAUCAGCCACAUUGGGACUGAGACACGGCCCAAACUCCUACGGGAGGCAGCAGUGGGGAAUCUUGCACAAUGGAGGAAACUCUGAUGCAGCGAUGCCGCGUGAGUGAAGAAGGCCUUUGGGUUGUAAAGCUCUUUCGUCGGGGAAGAAAAUGACUGUACCCGAAUAAGAAGGUCCGGCUAACUUCGUGCCAGCAGCCGCGGUAAUACGAAGGGACCUAGCGUAGUUCGGAAUUACUGGGCUUAAAGAGUUCGUAGGUGGUUGAAAAAGUUGGUGGUGAAAUCCCAGAGCUUAACUCUGGAACUGCCAUCAAAACUUUUCAGCUAGAGUAUGAUAGAGGAAAGCAGAAUUUCUAGUGUAGAGGUGAAAUUCGUAGAUAUUAGAAAGAAUACCAAUUGCGAAGGCAGCUUUCUGGAUCAUUACUGACACUGAGGAACGAAAGCAUGGGUAGCGAAGAGGAUUAGAUACCCUCGUAGUCCAUGCCGUAAACGAUGUGUGUUAGACGUUGGAAAUUUAUUUUCAGUGUCGCAGCGAAAGCGAUAAACACACCGCCUGGGGAGUACGACCGCAAGGUUAAAACUCAAAUGAAUUGACGGGGACCCGCACAAGUAGUGGAGCAUGUGGUUUAAUUCGAAGAUACGCGCAGAACCUUACCAACACUUGACAUGUUCGUCGCGACUCUAAGAGAUUAGAGUUUCGG